rnacentral:rRNA from 1 species
CACGCCGCGUGAGUGAUGAAGGCUUUCGGGUCGUAAAACUCUGUUGUUAGGGAAGAACAAGUGCUAGUUGAAUAAGCUGGCACCUUGACGGUACCUAACCAGAAAGCCACGGCUAACUACGUGCCAGCAGCCGCGGUAAUACGUAGGUGGCAAGCGUUAUCCGGAAUUAUUGGGCGUAAAGCGCGCGCAGGUGGUUUCUUAAGUCUGAUGUGAAAGCCCACGGCUCAACCGUGGAGGGUCAUUGGAAACUGGGAGACUUGAGUGCAGAAGAGGAAAGUGGAAUUCCAUGUGUAGCGGUGAAAUGCGUAGAGAUAUGGAGGAACACCAGUGGCGAAGGCGACUUUCUGGUCUGUAACUGACACUGAGGCGCGAAAGCGUGGGGAGCAAACAGGAUUAGAUACCCUGGUAGUCCACGCCGUAAACGAUGAGUGCUAAGUGUUAGAGGGUUUCCGCCCUUUAGUGCUGAAGUUAACGCAUUAAGCACUCC